AAGUCGUAACAAGGUCUCCGUUGGUGAACCAGCGGAGGGAUCAUUACCGAGUUUACAACUCCCAAACCCAUGUGAACAUUACCUCUAUGUUGCUUCGGCGGAGCCGCCCCGGCGCCCGGAACCCCCUGCGGUCCCGCGGCCCGGAACCAAGGCGCCCGCCGGAGGCCACAAACUCUUCUGUUUUUACAGUUUCUUCUGAGUGUGCCGCAAGGCAGUAUACAAAUGAAUCAAAACUUUCAACAACGGAUCUCUUGGUUCUGGCAUCGAUGAAGAACGCAGCGAAAUGCGAUAAGUAAUGUGAAUUGCAGAAUUCAGUGAAUCAUCGAAUCUUUGAACGCACAUUGCGCCCGCCAGAAUUCUGGCGGCAUGCCUGUUCGAGCGUCAUUUCAACCCUCGAGCUCCCCUUUCGGGGGAGCCGGCGUUGGGGACCCGGCGCUAACAACGCCGGCCCCGAAAUGGAGUGGCGGCCCGUCCGCGGCGACCUCUGCGUAGUAACAACCACUCGCACCGGGACCCGGGCGCGGCCACGCCGUAAAACACCCCACCUUCCGAAUGUUGACCUCGAAUCAGGUAGGAAUACCCGCUGAACUUAA
rnacentral:rRNA from 1 species